AUGCCGCUACAGGACAUCGCCGGGAAGGCAGGCCUCGUCGUCAUCCUUGGCGCCGCUGGAGGCUCCGCCUUCUACUUCCUCAAGGGCGCCCGCAACGCCAAAGGCCGCCGCCUCGCCGGCGGUGCCCAGGGAGUCCUCACGAACGCGCCCCGCGUCGGCCAUUGGGCAGCCUGGCUCGGCGCCGUCAGAGCCAUUCACUGCGCCAUGGAGCACGCGAACCAGGAGGACGACCCCAUCAACGCGCUCAUCGCCUGGGGCGGCGCCAACGCCCUCUGCUCCAUCCGCCGGGGGCCGCUCGCGGCCGUCCUCUCCGGGCUCAAGGGCGCGGCCUUCGGCGGGGUAGUGGGGAUCGCCAUGUACAGCCUCAACCACUUCAUGGCCGAGGACUGA
rnacentral:rRNA from 1 species